rnacentral:rRNA from 1 species
GACGAACGCUGGCGGCGUGCUUAACACAUGCAAGUCGAACGGAAAGGCCCUGCUUUUGUGGGGUGCUCGAGUGGCGAACGGGUGAGUAACACGUGAGUAACCUGCCCUUGACUUUGGGAUAACUUCAGGAAACUGGGGCUAAUACCGGAUAGGAGCUCCUGCUGCAUGGUGGGGGUUGGAAAGUUUCGGCGGUUGGGGAUGGACUCGCGGCUUAUCAGCUUGUUGGUGGGGUAGUGGCUUACCAAGGCUUUGACGGGUAGCCGGCCUGAGAGGGUGACCGGCCACAUUGGGACUGAGAUACGGCCCAGACUCCUACGGGAGGCAGCAGUGGGGAAUAUUGCAAAAUGGGCGGAAGCCUGAGGCAGCAACGCCGCGGGGGGGAUGACGGCCUUCGGGUUGUAAACCGCUUUCGCCUGUGACGAAGCGUGAGGGACGGUAAUGGGUAAAGAAGCACCGGCUAACUACGUG